rnacentral:rRNA from 1 species
UACGUAGGGGGCAAGCGUUGUCCGGAUUUAUUGGGCGUAAAGCGCGCGUAGGCGGCGCGGUAUGUCGUGCGUGAAAUCUCCCGGCUUAACUAGGAGGGGCCGUGCGAAACUGCCGGGCUUGAGGUCGGAAGGGGAAAGUGGAAUUCCGGGUGUAGUGGUGGAAUACGUAGAUAUCCGGAGGAACACCAGCGGCGAAGGCGGCUUUCUGGUCCGAUACUGACGCUGAGGUGCGAAAGCGUGGGGAGCGAUCCGG